rnacentral:rRNA from 1 species
GACGAACGCUGGCGGCGUGCUUAACACAUGCAAGUCGAACGGAAAGGCCCUGCUUUUGUGGGGUGCUCGAGUGGCGAACGGGUGAGUAACACGUGAGUAACCUGCCCUUGACUUUGGGAUAACUUCAGGAAACUGGGGCUAAUACCGGAUAGGCGCUCCUGCUGCAUGGUGGGGGUUGGAAAGUUUCGGCGGUUGGGGAUGGACUCGCGGCUUAUCAGCUUGUUGGUGGGGUAGUGGCUUACCAAGGCUUUGACGGGUAGCCGGCCUGAGAGGGUGACCGGCCACAUUGGGACUGAGAGACGGCCCAGACUCCUACGGGAGGCAGCAGUGGGGAAUAUUGCACAAUGGGCGGAAGCCUGAUGCAGCAACGCCGCGUGCGGGAUGACGGCCUUCGGGUUGUAAACCGCUUUCGCCUGUGACGAAGCGUGAGUGACGGUAAUGGGUAAAGAAGCACCGGCUAACUACGUG